rnacentral:rRNA from 1 species
GCAUACGACCAUCUCACCCUGAAUGCGCCCGAUCUCUUCUGAUCUCGGAAGCUAAGCAGUGUCGAGCCUGGUUAGUACUUGGAAGGGAGACUGCCUGGGAAUACCAGGUGUUGUAGGCU